rnacentral:rRNA from 1 species
CACUCCUGCGGGAGGCAGCAGUGGGGAAUUUUGGACAAUGGGCGAAAGCCUGAUCCAGCAAUGCCGCGUGAGUGAAGAAGGCCUUCGGGUUGUAAAGCUCUUUUGUCAGGGAAGAAACGGUGAAAGCUAAUAUCUUUUGCUAAUGACGGUACCUGAAGAAUAAGCACCGGCUAACUACGUGCCAGCAGCCGCGGUAAUACGUAGGGUGCAAGCGUUAAUCGGAAUUACUGGGCGUAAAGCGUGCGCAGGCGGUUUUGUAAGUCUGAUGUGAAAUCCCCGGGCUCAACCUGGGAAUUGCAUUGGAGACUGCAAGGCUAGAAUCUGGCAGAGGGGGGUAGAAUUCCACGGGUAGCAGUGAAAUGCGUAGAUAUGUGGAGGAACACCGAUGGCGAAGGCAGCCCCCUGGGUCAAGAUUGACGCUCAUGCACGAAAGCGUGGGGAGCAAACAGGAUUAGAUACCCGUGUAGUCCCAU